rnacentral:rRNA from 1 species
UACGUAGGGGGGCAAGCGUUGUCCGGAUUUAUUGGGCGUAAAGAGCGUGUAGGCGGUUAUGCAGGUCCGCUGUGAAAACUGGAGGCUUAACCUCCAGACGUCGGUGGAAACCGUAUGACUAGAGUCCGGAAGAGGAGAGUGGAAUUCCUGGUGUAGCGGUGGAAUGCGCAGAUAUCAGGAAGAACACCCGUGGCGAAGGCGGCUCUCUGGAACGCAACUGACGCUGAGACGCGAAAGCGUGGGGAGCAAACAGG